rnacentral:rRNA from 1 species
CGGGUGAGUAACACGUGGGCAACCUGCCCAAAAGAGGGGGAUAACACUUGGAAACAGGUGCUAAUACCGCAUAACCAUAGUUACCGCAUGGUAGCUAUGUAAAAGGUGGCUAUGCUAAACCGCUUUUGGAUGGGCCCGCGGCGCAUUAGCUAGUUGGUGGGGUAAAGGCUUACCAAGGCAAUGAUGCGUAGCCGAACUGAGAGGUUGAUCGGCCACAUUGGGACUGAGACACGGCCCAAACUCCUACGGGAGGCAGCAG